UAUACCGUGGCUCUGAUCCGAAAUCAGGGCAUUUUUGUUCGAACAAAUACCUAUAAUAACGAUGAAGAAGUGUGUGAUCCGCGGAGCAAACGACCUACGUCGGGUCGGGACUGAUAUGCGUGUGACUGUGCACAAGUUCCCGCUAAAAAAAGAAGUACAGAGAAAAGUGGAUGAGGGUGUGUGGCAUGACCAAUGAGCCAAGACCACAUGACCACUUAAACUUAACAAGAAGUGCGCACCAUGAUAAGCACAGUCAAAAACGUUUGCGUCUAAAGAACAGUGCUGUGCCGGAUCAGAAUAUUCCGUAUACGCCUUGGGUUGCUGUCGCUGCUCGGUCAUCCACAGAUGAAAGUGAUCAAGAAAUGGACAUCACUCAGGUGUGGGAUCACUCGUGGAAGUUCACGGCGGAUACGGAGCCGUGCAUGCAGCUCUGGUUCGAUCCUGCUCAGGGAAGCCCCAAUGACGCCGUGGCGCGCAUCUGGGCUGAGCGGGUGA